AUUGAACGCUGGCGGCAGGCCUAACACAUGCAAGUCGAGCGGAUGAAGAGAGCUGCUCUCUGAUUCAGCGGCGGACGGGUGAGUAAUGCCUAGGAAUCUGCCUGGUAGUGGGGGACAACGUUUCGAAAGGAACGCUAAUACCGCAUACGUCCUACGGGAGAAAGUGGGGGAUCUUCGGACCUCACGCUAUCAGAUGAGCCUAGGUACGAUUAGCUAGUUGGUGAGGUAAAGGCUCACCAAGGCGACGAUCGUUAACUGGUCUGAGAGGAUGAUCAGUCACACUGGAACUGAGACACGGUCCAGACUCCUACGGGAGGCAGCAGUGGGGAAUAUUGGACAAUGGGCGAAAGCCUGAUCCAGCCAUGCCGCGUGUGUGAAGAAGGUCUUCGGAUCGUAAAGCACUUUAAGUUGGGAGGAAGGGCAGUAAGUUAAUACCUUGCUGUUUUGACGUUACCGACAGAAUAAGCACCGGCUAACUUCGUGCCAGCAGCCGCCGUAACAC
rnacentral:rRNA from 1 species